rnacentral:rRNA from 1 species
GAUGAACGCUGGCGGCGUGCUUAACACAUGCAAGUCGAACGAGAAAUGGAGACGGAAACCUUCGGGCGGAAGGCUUCAUUUCGAGUGGCGGACGGGUGAGUAACGCGUGGGUAACCUGCCUCAUACAGGGGGAUAACAGUUGGAAACGACUGUUAAUACCGCAUAAGACCACAGCACCGCAUGGUGCGGGGGUAAAAACUCCGGUGGUAUGAGAUGGACCCGCGUUCGAUUAGCCAGUUGGCGGGGUAACGGCCCACCAAAGCGACGAUCGAUAGCCGAUCUGAGAGGAUGACCGGCAACAUUGGGACUGAGACACGGCCCAAACUCCUACGGGAGGCAGCAGUGGGGAAUAUUGCACAAUGGGGGAAACCCUGAUGCAGCGACGCCGCGUGAGUGAAGAAGUACUUCGGUAUGUAAAGCUCUAUCAGCAGGGAAGAAAAUGACGGUACCUGAGUAAGAAGCCCCGGCUAACUACGUG